UACGUAGGGACCAAGCGUUGUCCGGAAUCAUUGGGCGUAAAGAGCGUGUAGGCGGCUUGUUAAGUCUUGCGUGAAAUCUCGGGGCUCAACCCCGAGCGGUCGUGAGAAACUGGCAGGCUAGAGUGCGGGAGAGGAGAGUGGAAUUCCUGGUGUAGCGGUGAAAUGCGCAGAUAUCUGGAGGAACACCGGUGGCGAAGGCGGCAUCCUGGACCGGUAUUGACGCUGAGGCGCGAAAGCCAGGGGAGCAAACGGG
rnacentral:rRNA from 1 species